GUGGGGAAUUUUGGACAAUGGGCGCAAGCCUGAUCCAGCAAUGCCGCGUGCAGGAAGAAGGCCUUCGGGUUGUAAACUGCUUUUGUACGGAACGAAACGGUCCGGGUUAAUACCCUGGGCUAAUGACGGUACCGUAAGAAUAAGCACCGGCUAACUACGUGCCAGCAGCCGCGGUAAUACGCAGGGUGCAAGCGUUAAUCGGAAUUACUGGGCGUAAAGCGUGCGCAGGCGGUUUUGUAAGACAGGCGUGAAAUCCCCGGGCUCAACCUGGGAAUUGCGCUUGUGACUGCAAGGCUGGAGUGCGGCAGAGGGGGAUGGAAUUCCGCGUGUAGCAGUGAAAUGCGUAGAUAUGCGGAGGAACACCGAUGGCGAAGGCAAUCCCCUGGGCCUGCACUGACGCUCAUGCACGAAAGCGUGGGGAGCAAACAGGAUUAGAUACCCGAGUAGUCC
rnacentral:rRNA from 1 species